ensembl:snRNA U6 U6 spliceosomal RNA
GUGCUCACUUGGCAGCAUACACACUAAGAUUGGAGUGAUACAGAGAUUAGCACGGCCCCCGAGCGAGGAUGACACACAAAUUCAUGAUGUGUUCCACAUUUAA